rnacentral:lncRNA from 1 species
UUUUUUUUUUUUUAGAUUUUUUUCUAAUGAUGUACAACAUUCUGAUUGGAAUGCUCAAUUUAUGUUAUGAUAUUAUCAACAUCUAAAAGUUGGAUGUUUGGGACUCUUGGCAUCAUGAUUUAAUUCUAAUUUUCAUCAGCAACCUGGAAAAACACAAGAUGUUAAGGUGAGUCUGCAGUAUAAUUUGAGCAUAUCUGUCUUCUUCCACUAUAGUGUCUUUCAAGGUGGGGGAGGGGGAACCUCAAACAAAUAAACAUAAAUAUUGAAAUAAAAACACAGAAUAAUGUAAGUGUAUUUAGGCCUUUUCAAAACUGAUUAAGAUAUUUUCCCAACAGUUAUGAGCAAAUCAUUUCUAAGUAAAGUGCAUCUCUAAUUGGGGCAAAGUGAACAUUUUAAAAAAUUUGUUGUCAAUAAUAAUUGAAUAUAAAAACAUAUCACUCAAAAAAUGGCAUCUUCCAAUUAUAAGACCCUGCACUAUUCCUUUUAUGAGAUUUUUGACAGGAUGCAAAAAUCAAAUGGUAAUAAUAAGUAUUUUUCUCACUAUAAUGUGGGAUAAUAAAUCUGGCACCAAUUGAUCAGUGUACUCAACACAAUAUUUAAAUGGUAAAAUGAACCAGUAGGAAGUUUUAUAAUUGAAAGAAUAUUUUUUAAAAGGACACAAAAUGACUUUUGGAACAAAGCUAUAAAACAUGAAAUAUCCAUAUAGCCAUCUAAUGACUUUCAAAGUCAUUGAAACUUUAAGUAGAAGCUACUGGACUUAUAUUAACAAAACUAGAAUAAAUUUUUAAUUAACACUUUUUUGUAGUGAAAUUAAAGAUUUGUUUUAGUCAAGUUUGUUUAUUUAUUUUUAGUAAAAAGUAUUUCACAGAGGCAGUUUGUAGAAAAGGAAAGUUUCUAUCACAUCUUUCAGAAAUGACUAACUUCUUUGCAGCAUGAAGUAAUGUGUCUGAAUGAGCAUGAUCAAUGUUCAUUAAGUGCACUAAACUGACAGGUACAUAAAAUGGCACCACAUGUUUGUGCAUCUGAGCUUUCUAUAAUGAAUAAAUGGAGCAUGUGAUCCCAAAGGCAGCUACACCAGCCAUAACUUUGUAUUUGACACUUGACUGCCCUUAGGAGUCUGUUUGUCAAAAAUCAUCCAUUUGGAAAAAAAAAAAAAGAAAGGCAAAAACUUGAGAGGCUUUCUAGAGGGCAGUUAAACAGAAGCUUCUUAGGCACGCCGCUUCUAGGAGUUAGAUUGUUUUUAGAUGUAUCAAUUAUUUAUUUUAUUGGUUAUCAGUUCAUAACUGUUGGAGUUCAUUCAAAGUUCAUCUCACUACAAACAAUGGCAUCAACUUACAUGCUAAAAUCCAAAGUCAAUGCAAAAAAGAGGGCAAUGCUGCUUUUCCAGUUUGGUGUGGAAAU